rnacentral:rRNA from 1 species
ACGGGAGGCAGCAGUGGGGAAUAUUGCACAAUGGGCGCAAGCCUGAUGCAGCGACGCCGCGUGGGGGAUGACGGCCUUCGGGUUGUAAACUCCUUUCGCUAGGGACGAAGCGCAAGUGACGGUACCUGGAGAAGAAGCACCGGCUAACUACGUGCCAGCAGCCGCGGUAAUACGUAGGGUGCGAGCGUUGUCCGGAAUUACUGGGCGUAAAGAGCUCGUAGGUGGUUUGUCGCGUCGUUUGUGUAAGCCCGCAGCUUAACUGCGGGACUGCAGGCGAUACGGGCAUAACUUGAGUGCUGUAGGGGAGACUGGAAUUCCUGGUGUAGCGGUGGAAUGCGCAGAUAUCAGGAGGAACACCGAUGGCGAAGGCAGGUCUCUGGGCAGUAACUGACGCUGAGGAGCGAAAGCAUGGGUAGCGAACAGGAUUAGAUACCCUGGUAGUCCAUGCCGUAAACGGUGGGCGCUAGGUGUGAGUCCCUUCCACGGGGUUCGUGCCGUAGCUAACGCAUUAAGCGCCCCGCCUGGGGAGUACGGCCGCAAGGCUAAAACUCAAAGGAAUUGACGGGGGCCCGCACAAG